AAAAAAAUCACUAUCUGCAAUGGCUCUACCACCUUUUGAACAACAAGAAAACAUUGAAACGGUGGUAAAAAAGCAGCAAGUUUCGAAGUCUAAACGAAAGAUGGGUGGUCAUUAUCCAUUAUUUUUGGAAGUCGAUGCUGAUGAGAAAGAAAAAAUGUUUACGGUUAA